GUGUUUGCUUUGGCAGUGCGUGUACUAAAAUUGGGAUGAUACAGAGGGGAUUAUGCAUGUCCCCAGUGCAAGGACAGCAUGUAAAGUCAUAAAUCGUUUCGUAUUUUG